GAUGAACGCUGGCGGCGUGCCUAACACAUGCAAGUCGAACGGAGAUUUAACGCUGAUGAGGCUUCGGCGGAAUCUUGUUAAAUCUUAGUGGCGGACGGGUGAGUAACGCGUGGGCAACCUGCCUCGUACUGGGGGAUAACAGUUGGAAACGACUGUUAAUACCGCAUAAGCGCACGGUAUCGCAUGAUACAGUGUGAAAAACUCCGGUGGUACGAGAUGGGCCCGCGUCAGAUUAGCCAGUUGGCGGGGUAACGGCCCACCAAAGCGACGAUCUGUAGCCGGACUGAGAGGUCGGACGGCCACAUUGGGACUGAGACACGGCCCAAACUCCUACGGGAGGCAGCAGUGGGGGAUAUUGCACAAUGGGCGAAAGCCUGAUGCAGCGACGCCGCGUGAGUGAAGAAGUAUUUCGGUAUGUAAAGCUCUAUCAGCAGGGAAGAAAG
rnacentral:rRNA from 1 species